rnacentral:rRNA from 1 species
GAUGAACGCUGGCGGCGUGCCUAAUACAUGCAAGUCGAGCGAAGGGACGAGAAGCUUGCUCUUCUGAGGUUAGCGGCGAACGGGUGAGUAACACGUGGAUAACCUACCUUUAAGCCUGGGAUAACUUCGGGAAACGGGAGCUAAUACCGGAUAAUAUUUUAAACCGCAUGGUUCAAAGGUGAAAGAGGGUCUUGCUGCCCCUUAUGGUGGACCCGCGUUGCAUUUGCUAGUUGGUAAGGUAACGGCUUACCAAGGCAACGAUGCAUAGCCGACCUGAAAGGGUGAUCGGCCACACUGGACCUGAGACACGGUCCAGACUCCUACGGGAGGCAGCAGUAGGGAAUCUUCCGCAAUGGGCGAAAGCCUGACGGAGCAACGUCGCGUGAGUGAUGAAGGUCUUCGGAUCGUAAAACUCUGUUAUUAGGGAAGAACAUAUGUGUAAGUAACUGUGCACAUCUUGACGGUACCUAAUCAGAAAGCCACGGCUAACUACGUG